GGAGCUUAGUGGCAGAACAUCAGCCUUGCAUGCAGAAGGACCCAGGUCCAAACCCUGGGGGCAUCU